UUCAAUGGGACAACAAAGUUAUUGGAGUGGUCUGUGGGGGUACUACAUUGGAUUUAUUCCAAACCCCUCCCUAUGAUGCGUAGUACCAACUGUAUUGAUUAGAGGAUGAGCUAAUACUCUUAAUGCUUACUAUAGCUGAUAUUCAGUGGGGUGUUUAAAUACAGUGCACCCUUGAUAGUAGCACCUAUUUGAGUGUGGAAGUGGGGUCGCUUCCUAUGAGAAUUGAGGCGAAUUCUCUAGAGCACUCAAAGAAACUGGGAAAGUUCACGGUCGAAAUGAACACAACCGCGAGAACUCAAUGACUGUUCUAGAAAUCAUGUGUGUGUUCUAUUGUCUCAGUUUGCAACUAUAAUUGUAGAGUUCAAGACAUAGUUCACUCUACAGUUAGUAAGCUCGAUAGAAUAUACAAAGCCAAGGUUCAAGUCGAUAGACACCUAAGCC
rnacentral:lncRNA from 1 species